rnacentral:lncRNA from 1 species
GGGGGGGAUAACGGGGUCUAAGGGGGCGUGCCCUUUGGGGGCGUGGCCUAUGUGGGCGUGGCUUCAGUGGGCGUGGCAUAUAUGGACACACCCCUUUAGGACCCAUCCCUUUAGGACCCACCCCAUACGGACCCACCCCAUUGGCUCCCUUGGGGGGCGUGGCCUGGGUGGGCGUGUCCUAUGUGGGCGUGGCUUAUAAGGGCGUGGCUUACAUGGGCGUGGCCUAACUGGGCGUGGCCUAACUGGGCGUGUCCUAGGUGGGCGUGGCUUAUAUGGACCCACCCCUUUAGGACCCAUCCCAUAGGGACGCCACCCAUUGGGUCUGU